rnacentral:rRNA from 1 species
UGAGGAAUCUUCCACAAUGGGCGAAAGCCUGAUGGAGCAACGCCGCGUGAAGGAUGAAGGCCCUCGGGUCGUAAACUUCUUUUAUGAGUGAAGAAUAUGACGGUAACUCAUGAAUAAGCACCGGCUAACUACGUGCCAGCAGCCGCGGUCAUACGUAGGGUGCAAGCAUUAUCCGGAGUGACUGGGCGUAAAGAGUUGCGUAGGCGGUUAGUAAAGUGAAUAGUGAAACCUGGUGGCUCAACCAUUCAGACUAUUAUUCAAACUCACUAACUCGAGAAUGGUAGAGGUAAUUGGAAUUUCUAGUGUAGGAGUGAAAUCCGUAGAUAUUAGAAGGAACACCAAUGGCGUAGGCAGAUUACUGGACCAUUUCUGACGCUAAGGCACGAAAGCGUGGGGAGCG